GGUGAGACGCCCAGGGCUCAGGGCCCUCCUAAGCCCCUUCUGGUCCUUUACCAGAUGAAGAUGCUGUCCCAGAAUUACCGGUCGCUGGUAAUUACCAUUUGAAUGAUGGCCGUAAUGUGCCGGAAUCCAUCUCCGGCUCCACCACCCAUCAGUCCCUGGCCCAUCUCGGCCCAUCUCUCGUUGCUGGAGAGGGAGGGACCAUCUUAUCUUCCUUUUACAGAGGAGGAGACCAACGUCCAGAGUGGUUAAGACAUUGGCCCAAGGUCACACAGCGGUGGAGCCUGUCAGUAUCUGGUUCCAGAGCCCUUCCUUAGUCUGCAUCAUUUUCUCUAAACCCUUCUGGAGAGAUUCAGACCUCACCCACCCUCAGGAGAGUGAGAGAGACAGGUGGGAGCAGGGCCUCUUGCUGGGUGGUGCCCUGCACCAGUCUGUGUCUGAGCAUUGAGAGCCAGAGUGAUGGGGGCCAGCCCUGGGAGGUUUGUCCUGCUGGCUGGCAGGACCAUCAGAAGGUUCAUGUCACAGUGGCUAAUGAGAAAUAACAGUAACAACAUUGAUUGGCUUAUUCAGUCUUCAGCCCUGUGAAGUGGGCCAUUGUAUGUUCGC